GGCUGGUCUGAACGUAGUGAGUUAUCUCGAUUGUUCAUCGUCAGUUACAGAUUGAAUUCCUCAUUCUACUCUUUUUCCCCUUCUCAUUACUGCACUUGUCUGGUCUAAU
ensembl:misc_RNA Y_RNA Y RNA